AGUUCCACAAGAUUAGGAGCAUGCUUCAGUUGAAGCUGUGAUUUGGAAACACUCACAAAUCCCAACAAAGCCAUCUCAUUCCUUGAGUGCCUCCCUGGAAAGGCCUGCUUAUCAGUAUUGAAAGAAUGAAUUAUUUCUAAUGAAGAAGAACGUAUUUUAAUCCCUGUCAGAUUUGAGGAAUUUCUAGGCAGGCUACUUUUAUUGUUUCCUUUCCAAGAGUUUGUCUCAGUACUGCCAUAAACUGCAAUAGAAAUAUCAUUUUAUAAAUGAAUCUGAAGGUUAUUGCACAGGCCUAUUGAACGUACCCAGGAUCAAUUUGUGUGUGAGCUAGCACCUGGAAGUCUAUGAAGAAAUUCAGAAAGGUUCCAGGAACUGCUCAUCUGUGCUACAGACGCAUGCUGCUCAACCUUCAGUGUGUCAUGCUGCUCUUCAGAAUGACUUCCAGUGCAGAACUGAUGUUCUGACGACUACAGUCAUGGUCUGCUGCUGCUGCAGGUGGAGAAGGAAUGAGGAAACUUUCUGAAUGUGCAGAGCAAACAUCCUCCUGUUAGUGUUGGCAAGCAUGAACUGCUUCUGAAUAAUCCGACUGCUAACGAACCUUAAGUCUCCAACCUCAAGAGGGCCAGUAAAAAAUUGUGCUCGGUACUGGUCUCACUAUAUUGUCAAUAUUACAGCGUAUGCCUUACAGUCCUGUUUCAGUUAAAACCUUUCUAGUAAAGGUAGAGCUCUUGCCCCAAUAUAUUCUCGUGUUUAUCCUCAUUGUUGGAAGUAUUUGUCUUUGACAGCAUCAAAUCUGCUUGCUUCGGCAGUGUGGCAAUUGCUUUUUGUGCCAUAUGGAAGCCCUCUGACAUGCUGUGUGUCUGUCUUCUGUAUGUAAGUCAUGAAUUCACUUUAUACCUCAUUCAUGAAGAAUAAAUAUGAACUCCCUGUUUCAGUUUCAUGUACUGCCUU
rnacentral:lncRNA from 1 species